CCUCUUAUUUUACAGGUUUUCAAGCUGCUGAGCUCCAUUAUCAUGCAUUUUUUCUUGGUCAACUUUUAUCAGAUUUCAAGCUUUAAAAUAUGUUAAUUAAAAUAAAACCGUGAGAUGCACGCCUCGAUGUGACGCGACCUGCUAUGCGCCUUUUGGGCCUGUCUCCUUACUGUGAAGAUAAUAACGUUUUUGCAAAAAAAAAAAAAAAAUCUGUGUAAAAAUUUUACGAGUAAUUUAUUCGAUAUGAAACUCGUACGUACGAUUUAUGCAAAACUAGUCUACGAUACUGGACUCGUUGCCGCUUCAACCAUCACCGGGACAUAAUCACGUACCUUGACACUAAUUCGUAUUUGCUUCUAGUGCAUUUUUCUGCCCGGUCUCUCCGCUUCUCUGGCACUCUAAGUCUCGAUGUAGGAAGGGGCACUUGAACUUACCGAACUCGGGUAGACGACCGCAUCCUAAAACGUUUUGAGAGAUAAUUGUUCAAGUAGGAGGACAACGACUUGGUGCCGUUCCGAUAAACCACCGUCAAAGUCCAGCUGGCCCAUCAUAUAACAGAAGAAAAUUCCGAUUGUAGCUUACAACAUUGGUCGGUCACUAAGCAAUGUGGCAAGGUAUAGGGUAUCUGCGUGGCCGGCUUAUUUAGCCAAGCGCCUUACCCUGGAUUAUUCAAGGGCUGCGACAUCUGUGCCUCAGUUCGCCUGGCCGCUUGGAGGUUUCUUAGGAUCACUCGCCUUGAUGGCUUCAUGGAACUUGGUAUCGUCCACUGGGGACCCUGUCGCCCUGGGGUUAAUCAGGCAUAAUGAGGCUUUUGCCUUCAAAAUAGGGUGGAAAGCAAGAACCAGGUGCAUCAUAAUGUUACGUCCUAAUGGAAUAGGUCCGCUCAAAUAAACAUGCAACAGGCACUAAAGCAACAGACGAGAAACGUAAAAGGCAUUAUUUGCAAAAACUGGUUUCCGUCAAAAGGAUGAUUCAUGUGACGUUCGUCAAAUUCUACGUGAAAUCAAAAACUCCUUAUGAACGUCAAUCAUCUAUGCAAGGCGAACGAAGAGCUCAGUAGAACCCUAACAAAGAAAACAUAGCUUACUGAGAAAGAUGUAAAUCUCGUAAAGAGCGCAUAAACUGAAGACGAGUGAAGGGCCCUGACCAGAUACCUCUGUCCGAUUGCAGACACAAGUUAAAUGCGUUGAUGGCAAGAAUGCUCCUAUAGUACCAGCGGCCAUCUCAUCCGCCGGUCGCUGUGCCAAACGAGCAAUAAAACGCCAUAACGGUUUCGAAAAACCAAAGUUCAAAGCAGUGGUAGUAAUUGAGGAGCUUAACUUCGAUGAUUCAUACUGACUACGGACUUCGCGUAACCGCGGG